rnacentral:rRNA from 1 species
GACGUAGGUGGCGAACGUUUAUCCGGAAUUAUUGGGCGUAAAGCGCGCGUAGGCGGUUACUUAAGUCGGAUGUGAAAGCCCUCGGCUUAACUGAGGAAGUGCACCCGAAACUGAGUAGCUAGAGUACGAAAGAGGGUCGCGGAAUUCCUGGUGUAGAGGUGAAAUUCGUAGAUAUCGGGAGGAACACCGGUGGCGAAGGCGGCGACCUGGGUCGAGACUGACGCUGAGGCGCGAAAGCGUGGGGAGCAAACAGG